rnacentral:rRNA from 1 species
UACAGAGGUCUCAAGCGUUUGUUCGGAUUCAUUGGGCGUAAAGGGUGCGUAGGCGGCGCGGUAAGUCGGGUGUGAAAUCUCGGGGCUUAACUCCGAAACUGCAUUCGAUACGGGCAGGCUCGAGUUCGGUAGGGGAGACUGGAAUUCCUGGUGUAGCGGUGAAAUGCGCAGAUAUCAGGAGGAACACCGGUGGCGAAGGCGGGUCUCUGGGCCGAUACUGACGCUGAGGAGCGAAAGCGUGGGGAGCGAACAGG